AUGCGGCUGAUGGGGAAGAAGCUCUGCUUGGGGAGGCUCUGGCAGUGGCUUGAUCGGCUGCCUCUGCUAGUCUCCAGCGCCCCCACUGUUACCAAUGUUAGAUCUUCCACUUCGUUAUCAGCUGCCCUCUGUUGGUCCCUGUCUCCGUUCCGCGUCACCCCCGUUCCUUGCUUAGUGUUGCUGCACCUCUGUAUGCUGUGUUUGUGUCUUCAGAAUUCAGAUACUGGUGUCUGUUCACUACUGUUUGCAAUGCCGGCUAUCCCUUGGGCUGUUUGUUUGCCAUUCGCGCAGACUGUUGUCCAACUGCUUUGCAACGCCCCCACCGCGAUGAUCCCUGCAAUGUAUAUACAACUUAUUAAUUGGAACGUCAGAGGGUUAAACAACCUGGCUAGAAGGAGAGCGAUUCAAAAAUUUAUUGCUGACCACAACUGCAACUUGGUCUGCCUCCAGGAGACUAAGUUGGCUGACCUCUCCCCUGCUCUGGUCACUGAGAUCCCUGGCAGCAAGUUCUCUGCCAAUGUCAUUUUCAAACCGGUAUUGGCAUCCGAGGGGGCAUCUUGGUGGCAUGCCCUGAUGAUUUUGCUAUUGUUCAGGACCACUUGA
rnacentral:rRNA from 1 species